rnacentral:rRNA from 1 species
CCUACGGGAGGCUGCAGUAGGGAAUCUUCCACAAUGGGCGAAAGCCUGAUGGAGCAACGCCGCGUGGGUGAAGAAGGUCUUCGGAUCGUAAAACCCUGUUGUUAGAGAAGAAAGUGCGUGAGAGUAACUGUUCACGUUUCGACGAUAUCUAACCAGAAAGCCACGGCUAACUACGUGCCAGCAGCCGCGGUAAUACGUAGGUGGCAAGCGUUAUCCGGAUUUAUUGGGCGUAAAGGGAACGCAGGCGGUCUUUUAAGUCUGAUGUGAAAGCCUUCGGCUUAACCGGAGUAGUGCAUUGGAAACUGGGAGACGUGAGUGCAGAAGAGGAGAGUGGAACUCCAUGUGUAGCGGUGAAAUGCGUAGAUAUAUGGAAGAACACCAGUGGCGAAAGCGGCUCUCUGGUCUGUAACUGACGCUGAGGUUCGAAAGCGUGGGUAGCAAACAGGAUUAGAUACCCCGGUAGUC